AUUGAACGCUGGCGGCAUGCUUUACACAUGCAAGUCGAACGGUAACAGGCCGCAAGGUGCUGACGAGUGGCGAACGGGUGAGUAAUGCAUCGGAACGUGCCCAGUCGUGGGGGAUAACUACUCGAAAGAGUAGCUAAUACCGCAUACGAUCUAUGGAUGAAAGCGGGGGACCGUAAGGCCUCGCGCGAUUGGAGCGGCCGAUGUCAGAUUAGGUAGUUGGUGGGGUAAAGGCUCACCAAGCCAACGAUCUGUAGCUGGUCUGAGAGGACGACCAGCCACACUGGGAAUGAGACACGGCCCAGACUCCUACGGGAGGCAGCAGUGGGGAAUUUUGGACAAUGGGCGCAAGCCUGAUCCAGCAAUGCCGCGUGCAGGAAGAAGGCCUUCGGGUUGUAAACUGCUUUUGUACGGAACGAAACGGCUCUGGUUAAUACCCAGGGCUAAUGACGGUACCGUAAGAAUAAGCACCGGCUAACUACGUG
rnacentral:rRNA from 1 species